CUGCGGCUCCUCCCUCGGGCAGAGGGAGUCCAGAUGCGAGGGACGCCCUCCAGAGCCGAGCUGGGCCGGCCGGGCAGCUAGGGUGCUGGGAGGUUGCGGUGCAGGCGCUGAGACGCAGGCCUUUCCUGGCGCGAAGCGACUCGCCCCGGAGCUCCCCUGCACCGUCCUGGGUGUCAGGACGCGUCAACCCAGAUGACCCGACCCGGAGAUCCUGGAUCCUCUGCCCUCUUCCCCCUACCAAGUCCUUAACCGGAGAGGGAGGAGCUACCAAUGUCCUCCAGACGUUCUCCAAAGCCCGAGCUGCCGGGAGAAGCUUGCUCAAGGCGGGUGCGCCCCUCAGACGUUUGUUUGCACGCAGGGGUUUUGACGUUUCGCUAAGCAACAGCGUUUGCCAGGGAAUCAGGGCUGUUUCGAAGAGCUUGCGUCUAUUUGAUGCUCCCAUCUUGAACAAAUCGUUUCCAUUCGAUUUGUUUAACCAAGGCGAGGGCGGACUAUGUUGUUACUUAAAAGUUAUUCUUCAUCCAAGCUGUCCUCAGAUUUUCAUCUAAGGGUGUCAUAACACCCCAGGUCGUUGCGCAAAUGUUUUGUGACAAUUUAGAAAACCAGAGGGGGGAAAUAUCCUUAGAGAAAAAAUCAUAACCAACAAGAAAAUUAUGUUAAAUGAUGUUGGUCCUUUUUCAUCGGAUGGUCCCAGUUGACACAUAGUCUUUUACAAAACCAGUGACUAUUCACAGUCUUCAAUUUAUGGCACAUCUCCCGGUGGGGGCGAAGUGCAUGAAUGGGUCCCACCUUAUUCACCAGCUGAAACUCUGAACAAGCCUUGGGGUUUCCUCUCCCAAAGACUGCCAGGCUUCACUAAGAAUCAAAACAAAACAGGAUACUAAAUGCCUGCGGUUCCUUUUUCCAUAAUUUUUUUCUUUUAACCAGCCUUUCACCUCACCCAAAGGCCAC
rnacentral:lncRNA from 1 species